UACGUAGGGUGCGAGCGUUGUCCGGAAUUAUUGGGCGUAAAGGAGCUCGUAGGCGGUCUGUCGCGUCUGCUGUGAAAACCCGAGGCUCAACCUCGGGCCUGCAGUGGGUACGGGCAGACUAGAGUGCGGGUAGGGGAGAAUGGAACUCCUGGUGUAGCGGUGGAAUGCGCAGAUAUCAGGAAGAACACCGAUGGCGAAGGCAGUUCUCUGGGCCGUAACUGACGCGUGAGGAAGCGAAAGCGUGGGGAGCGAACAGG
rnacentral:rRNA from 1 species